rnacentral:misc_RNA from 1 species
GUGAAUCAUCGAAUUUUUGAACGCAAAUUGCACUCCCUGGUAUUCCAGGGAGUAUGCCUGUUUGAGGGUCGUUAGAACAAAAAUCGAAGCGUCGCUCUUUUGUGUAAGGGUGAUCGCGUCGGGAUUGAGCCGUCUUAAAAAAGUUAAAUCAUGUGAAAGGGGCUUGAAAUGCAUCAAUCCGGUACGAUUAAAGCGUAUUUGAGAUCAAUUUUGAUUAAAA